rnacentral:tRNA from 1 species
UUGGGUGUACCUCAAUGCUAGAGGACAUGCUUGGCAUGUAUGAGGCCAUAGAUUCAAACCCCAGCACCCGGG